GGAAUAUUGGUCAAUGGGCGAGAGCCUGAACCAGCCAUGCCGCGUGCAGGAUGACGGCCUUCUGGGUUGUAAACUGCUUUUAUAUGGGAAGAAAAAGGUCUUGCGAGACAAAUUGCCGGUACCAUAUGAAUAAGCACCGGCUAACUCCGUGCCAGCAGCCGCGGUAAUACGGAGGGUGCAAGCGUUGUCCGGAUUUAUUGGGUUUAAAGGGUACGUAGGCGGAUUUUUAAGUCCGUGGUGAAAGCCUACAGCUUAACUGUAGAACUGCCAUGGAUACUGGGAAUCUUGAAUUCAGUUGAGGUAAGCGGAAUUUAUGACGUAGCGGUGAAAUGCAUAGAUAUCAUAAAGAA
rnacentral:rRNA from 1 species